UACGGAGGGAGCUAGCGUUGUUCGGAAUUACUGGGCGUAAAGCGCACGUAGGCGGCGCAGCAAGUCAGGGGUGAAAUCCCGGGGCUCAACCCCGGAACUGCCUCUGAAACUGCAGUGCUAGAAUCUUGGAGAGGCGAGUGGAAUUCCGAGUGUAGAGGUGAAAUUCGUAGAUAUUCGGAAGAACACCAGUGGCGAAGGCGACUCGCUGGACAAGUAUUGACGCUGAGGUGCGAAAGCGUGGGGAGCAAACAGG
rnacentral:rRNA from 1 species